UACCAGACUCCUACGGGAGGCAGCAGUAGGGAAUAUUGCUCAAUGGGGGAAACCCUGAUGCAGCGACGCCGCGUGAGUGAAGAAGUAUUUCGGUAUGUAAAGCUCUAUCAGCAGGGAAGAAAAUGACGGUACCUGACUAAGAAGCCCCGGCUAACUACGUGCCUGCAGCCGCGGUAAUACGUAGGGGGCAAGCGUUAUCCGGAUUUACUGGGUGUAAAGGGAGCGUAGACGGCAUGGCAAGUCAGAUGUGAAAGCCCGGGGCUCAACCCCGGGACUGCAUUUGAAACUGUCAGGCUGGAGUGCAGGAGAGGUAAGUGGAAUUCCUAGUGUAGCGGUGAAAUGCGUAGAUAUUAGGAGGAACACCAGUGGCGAAGGCGGCUUACUGGACUGUAACUGACGUUGAGGCUCGAAAGCGUGGGGAGCAAACAGGAUUAGAUACCCCGGUAUCC
rnacentral:rRNA from 1 species